rnacentral:lncRNA from 1 species
AUGACUUACAUGGAAUCUCGUUCGGCUGAUGAUUUGCUGUUGAGACUCGGAAAUCUGAUUUUCUGGGAAUGGUGGCUUAGACAGGAACAGCUUAUAAUGCAAGAAGCAAGCAUUACUGACGUAGUUGUCUUUGUGUUUCAGGUACAGCUCCUUGUCUGGUGCCUGAGAAUGAUUUUAGGGGAAAGGAGUAAGCCAUAUAUCUGCUCCACUGUAGUCUGAAGUUGAGAGAUCUGAAGAAAGAACAAAGCACAGAUAAUGGUAAGUAUUUGUUCAUGUACUUGUAUUAAAUAAACGAACCAUGUUUAAAAGAUAACUCUUGUAA